rnacentral:rRNA from 1 species
GACUCCGGGAUAAGCGGUGGAAACGCCGUCUAAUACCGGAUACGACCCGCCACCUCAUGGUGGAGGGUGGAAAGUUUUUCGGUCAGGGAUGGGCUCGCGGCCUAUCAGCUUGUUGGUGGGGUAACGGCCUACCAAGGCGAUUACGGGUAGCCGGCCUGAGAGGGCGACCGGCCACACUGGGACUGAGACACGGCCCAGACUCCUGCGGGAGGCAGCAGUGGGGAAUAUUGCGCAAUGGGCGAAAGCCUGACGCAGCGACGCCGCGUGGGGGAUGACGGCCUUCGGGUUGUA